GACGAACGCUGGCGGCGUGCUUAACACAUGCCAGUCGAACGGAAAGGCCCUGCUUUUGUGGGGUGCUCGAGUGGCGAACGGGUGAGUAACACGUGAGUAACCUGCCCUUGACUUUGGGAUAACUUCAGGAAACUGGGGCUAAUACCGGAUAGGAGCUCCUGCUGCAUGGUGGGGGUUGGAAAGUUUCGGCGGUUGGGGAUGGACUCGCGGCUUAUCAGCUUGUUGGUGGGGUAGUGGCUUACCAAGGCUUUGACGGGUAGCCGGCCUGAGAGGGUGACCGGCCACAUUGGGACUGAGAUACGGCCCAGACUCCUACGGGAGGCAGCAGGGGGGAGUAUUGCACAAUGGGCGGAAGCCUGAUGCAGCAACGCCGCGUGCGGGAUGACGGCCUUCGGGUUGUAAACCGCUUUCGCCUGUGACGAAGCGUGAGUGACGGUAAUGGGUAAAGAAGCACCGGCUAACUACGUG
rnacentral:rRNA from 1 species